rnacentral:rRNA from 1 species
GCCUACGGGGGGCAGCAGUGGGGAAUAUUGGACAAUGCGGAGAACCCUGAUCCAGCGACGCCGCGUGAGUGAAGAAGUAUUUCGGUAUGUAAAGCUCUAUCAGCAGGGAAGAAAAUGACGGUACCUGACUAAGAAGCCCCGGCUAACUACGUGCCAGCAGCCGCGGUAAUACGUAGGGGGCAAGCGUUAUCCGGAUUUACUGGGUGUAAAGGGAGCGUAGACGGUGCAGCAAGUCUGACGUGAAAGGUCGGGGCCCAACCCCGGGACUGCAUUGGAAACUGUU